AAAAACACAUAGGUUAAUGCAGAACACACUUUCCCAGCUGGCUAUAAAAACAAUAAUAAUAAAAAAAGUAACAUUGGACACAUUUUAUCAGGGCGGAAUUAAGUAGUUUGGGCACUGAGUGGUUAUAGAUGCUCAAGCCUUAAAAGCGAAUGCCAUGCAGUUAAGAGAACGGAGCCAGCCGAUGGACGGGAAAAUGGAGCCACUUAUACUUUUCUGACAAUGAAAUGGAUUGCAAUGUUAAAUAUUUAUGCUAUAGUCACCAAUGCACUACUAGUCCAAAAAGAUGCUUAAAUGUUCAUUACACAGCACGGUCUAAUUCUUUUCAUACCAUUUGCUUUCACUUCAUAUGGUGACAGAAGAACACUCUGCUACAUGAAAAAAACACUGCUUUUCUGCUAAUAGUUACAAGGAAGAAUACAGCUUUUAAUUCUAGACUUCAAAUUUUCCAAAAGAUCCCUCAUGGAAUAUUAACAUAUGGUUCUUAAAAUUAAGCCAGCUGCACGUGUCUCCGGUGUAUGUCAAAAUGCAGUCCCCUCAAGCAUAAAGUAGCAAGAACCUGAACCUCGUGAUAAUUCUGCUCCGUUCUACAACAAUAUUACAUUAGCCUUAAAUAAAUCUGCUCCACAUGGCCGCAGUAUCCCGCUAACCCUAAAUAAUGUCAAGCCAUAAUAACUCAAUGUAAUCUAUAAAAUAAUUAGCUACAUAGGGCCAAGGAAAUAGGAGCAUAAAACAACAUUAAAGAUGCAUUACAAGGAUUGUUCUGAAACCAUUUGAUGGAAUGUACUGGACAUGAUCAAAUAUUAAUAAAACAUGUGGUCUAAUGUUCACUAGUGCUGUGCUUCUAAAUGCGAGAAGCCCAGAAAGCAUGUGGGCUCUUUGUAAGGGUUUAUAUUAGAUUUGGUAAAUAGACAGGGCACCACCAGAACCCAUAACAUACUCAAAUUCCGGGAAGGAAGCAGAAGUCUACACUUGGCUUACAGCCGUCCUUCAUAUUAUCUAACUAAAUAAAAACUUUAUCUGGUACAAAAGAGGUAAAGUGAUUAUAAAAACCAGCAUUGAGCCUAAUUUGGUUUUGGGCAUUAAAUAAAGUAUUCUUCUUGCUUUGAUGUAUUUUCCUGUAAAUGUAACAAAUGCAGAAAUACAGUGUAUUUAUAGACUGCCAUGUCAGUUUUACAACAUUUUACUAUCAUUUUUUUUGCAAGAUUCUAUUAUUACAACGGAUACAAUCUAAAGUAAGAGUUCAGAGUAAAAAAUAAUAGGAAUAGGAUUUUAUAAAAUUCACUACAAAAACUAUUUUCAGUAAGCCUACAUCGGAAAUUAAGAAUUCUGGUUUUAUGUUUGUUAACCUUGGUCUCAAAGGGACAUAUCAGGCUGAGAUAUCAGGUGCUUACGUCUGAGAGCUACUUUUUUACUUCGUUUCCUUCUUAACAUUUAUAGAGGCACUAGGAAAAGUAAAGCAGUUGAGAUAAAGGGCACCUCACUUCAAGAGCUAUCUAAAGGUCUAUUCACACGUCAUAUUCAAAACAUGUUUUCGGCAAAUUCCUGCUAAAACCAGCUGUACUCUGCCACAUUUCUAUGACUAAAACUUUCAUAUGACCUACACAUUAUGGCCACCAUAAAACAAUAUAGCUCAGCUUUCUCAACCUUUGGGCAUGUGACACUGAACAAAAAUGGAUUCUGGGGUGAACAGCAGAAAUAAAUUUGUUUGUGGGUUUUGAAAGGAGUUCGAAAGGAGUUCACUUGUAUUAAAUUUAUACUUUCAAAUAUAGAUUUUAUGGUAGUAACAGAAAGACACAGAGAGAUUUAUCAUAACCUGUGUAGAGGAAGAGUGGUGUACUUACCCAUAGUAACUAAUCAUAUUAUUUGUAUCGUUCAGGGACCUUUUUAAAAAUGAAACUAGCAAUAUGAUUGGUUGCUAUGGGCAACUGCACCACUCUUCCUCUAAAUCUUCCCCAAAGAUCCCUUUAAGCUUUACUGCAUUUCUCUGCUCUUAGUUCAGUGACAAUUAUUUCUUUUCCGUUAAAUAUUUUUUGGGGCAUUAUCAGGGGUCAAGUCCUGGGAAAAAAAAGUGAGGGAACUCACCCAAGAUUUCCAUUCAAGGGUUGGUCCUGCAGGACUCCUGCUAAUGGAAAUGGUGUGCCUGCUGUAGAAAAAGUGCAGGAACUCUGUUCCCACACUUUCCUGCAGGACUUGAGCCCUGGGCAUUACCCAUGAUUCCAUUGUAAAUUUUAUUUAAUUUUGAUAGGCUGAAUGAAAAAAAAGAGUCUGAAAGUGCUCCUGAAGAAUAAUGCAGACACAAUCUUAUGUCUUUGUUUCUGCCUUCUUUUUAGCCACUCCCUUUUCAUACAAAAAUGUGUGGUGGGCGGAGCUUCUGAUUGUCAUGUAGUUUGCUUUGAACUUAAUUUUUCAGCAGUCAUUAGUGCAGUAGUCAUCCUUUAGGAGAAUGUAAUCUUCAUAAUGGGUUUUUGAAAGCAGAGAUGAAGUGAUGUCCAUGACCACCCACCAACCGGAUAUUUUUGUUUCAACUUACAUAAAUUCACAAUACAUCACAAGGCCACAGACUGGAAGCAAAUGAGUAGAAGGACGGCAGAUAAAGAGAUCAGAUUCUUUGCUUACAAGGUCAGAUGGUUAAAUCCUACUGUUCUCAAGGUGAACGCUCGAGCCAGUAGUCGUAUGUGUGUAAACAUAACUCCAAUUGCAUCUUCGAAUUUC